rnacentral:tRNA from 1 species
GCCUGGGUGGUGGAAUUGGUAGACACGCUAGCUUGAGGGGCUAGUGGGAGAAAUCUCGUGCUGGUUCGAGUCCAGUCCCAGGCACCA